rnacentral:lncRNA from 1 species
UAAAUAUAUACAUAUACGUAUUAGCUCCUCUCUUUAUAUAGAGACAGGGAGCAAGCUAAUGAUGUGAGUCAUGGCUGCUUUAGAGUAAUUAAGAGGGAAUACUUCCCUAGGCUAAAUGUUAGGAAACAGGGGAACAAACCAGUUUGGAAUGAGACUGUUGUGAUAGAAUGGAAUGAAAAGAAUCAAGAAAGCUAACAAAGUUGGGAUUCUGUACUAAAUUCUUAGGUGGGCAUAGGGUUACUUUUUGUUUAACAUUAUGCAGUAAAUAAACUCUCUUACCAUGCUGAAAAAAGAAAAAGAAAAAAAAACCAACUACUUCAAAAACAGAGAUUUGCAUUUCUUUGUACGUGAGUUCAUGCACUGAUAAAAAUGCACUGAUAUUUUCCAGCUGCAGGCACUAAAUAGGUCACUGUUCCUUUCUUCUCUAUAUGUGAAGAUGCAGUAUCUGACAGAGCUUAUGUUUAUUUAUUUAAAAUCUCAUUUUAUCUUUGUUGAUGCCUAAACCCUCUUUUUUAUUUUCCAGAAACUUUGGUCAUCACUGUGGAAUUCCUGGUAUGAGAAUGCAGACGGUCAGAGUAGAGAGUGGAUCCUUGCUGAACAACUGUAAUCAUGAAGGCAGUUCUUAUAAUUGUCCUAAUCAUCUUCACUUUGCUGUGUUCAGGGAAAAAGUUUCGAUGGUGCACUCUCUCUGAUCUAGAACAGAGAAAGUGUGCUGAGCUGUCCAAAGCACUGACAGCUGUGCUGCCUGUCACUAACAGCGAUUCAUUUGCCAGGAUUUCUUGCAUCAGAGCCCACAAUACUUAUGACUGCAUUGAUAAAAUCAGAGUAAGUUCACAAAGAUUUUUAAAACUAACUUAAUUUGAAUGAAAUUCUCUUUUGAAGUAGAAACUGGCUAACAACUCAUGGAGAAUGAAAUGUUAUUGACAUGAUGGUAUCUCACAUAGGAGUAAGUACGUUGGAUGUUUCAGAAAUAAUGCCUCCUACUUGUUUCCACAGAAACUAGAACAGAUAAAAAGAGCACUAUAACACUAUUUGACAAAGCAAAUUCUCUGCUACAAAGCACUAUUUUUCAACAUAGUCACCAUCAGCUAUGCAUUUUUGCCAGCAGUGAACAAGAGCCUUCAUACCAUUCUUGUAAAAAUCUAUAUGGGCAUCUGGAAUGAGGUUUGUCUUUCACAUCACCAAUGUCAAAAUGCACCACCCACUGCCUCACUGUGCCCACAUCCACUGUCUGAUCUCCAUAAAUGUUCAGCAAGAGACAAUUAAUUCACUUAUGCACCUUUGCCUCAUACACGCUUCCAUGUCAGGCACCAUUUUGUCACACUGCCCCUCUGCUGCUAUCAGUCUCUUCUGCCAUCCUACCAACAUAAUAAAAUAGGAGGCAUUACUUUCA